rnacentral:rRNA from 1 species
UGGGGAAUUUUGGACAAUGGGCGAAAGCCUGAUCCAGCAAUGCCGCGUGUGUGAAGAAGGCCUUCGGGUUGUAAAGCACUUUUGUCCGGAAAGAAAUCCUUGGCUCUAAUACAGUCGGGGGAUGACGGUACCGGAAGAAUAAGCACCGGCUAACUACGUGCCAGCAGCCGCGGUAAUACGUAGGGUGCAAGCGUUAAUCGGAAUUACUGGGCUAAAGCGUGCGCAGGCGGUUUGCUAAGACCGAUGUGAAAUCCCCGGGCUCAACCUGGGAACUGCAUUGGUGACUGGCAGGCUAGAGUAUGGCAGAGGGGGGUAGAAUUCCACGUGUAGCAGUGAAAUGCGUAGAGAUGUGGAGGAAUACCGAUGGCGAAGGCAGCCCCCUGGGCCAAUACUGACGCUCAUGCACGAAAGCGUGGGGAGCAAACAGGAUUAGAUACCCUGGUAGUCCACGCCCUAAACGAUGUCAACUAGUUGUUGGGGAUUCAUUUCCUUAGUAACGUAGCUAACGCGUGAAGUUGACCGCCUGGGGAGUACGGUCGCAAGAUUAAAACUCAAAUGAAUUGACGGGGUCAUAGCUGUUUCCU